rnacentral:rRNA from 1 species
GAUGAACGCUGGCGGCGUGCCUAAUACAUGCAAGUCGAGCGAACAGAUAAGGAGCUUGCUCCUUUGACGUUAGCGGCGGACGGGUGAGUAACACGUGGAUAACCUACCUAUAAGACUGGGAUAACUUCGGGAAACCGGAGCUAAUACCGGAUAACAUUUGGAACCGCAUGGUUCUAAAGUGAAAGAUGGUUUUGCUAUCACUUAUAGAUGGACCCGCGCCGUAUUAGCUAGUUGGUAAGGUAACGGCUUACCAAGGCGACGAUACGUAGCCGACCUGAGAGGGUGAUCGGCCACACUGGAACUGAGACACGGUCCAGACUCCUACGGGAGGCAGCAGUAGGGAAUCUUCCGCAAUGGGCGAAAGCCUGACGGAGCAACGCCGCGUGAGUGAUGAAGGGUUUCGGCUCGUAAAACUCUGUUAUUAGGGAAGAACAAAUGUGUAAGUAACUGUGCACAUCUUGACGGUACCUAAUCAGAAAGCCACGGCUAACUACGUGCCAGCCGCCGCCGUAA